GCGGCCAAUAAGACGUUUUCUUUCCAGUCAUUUUCCAAACCUUCCUCAGUAUCGUGGAGGCAAAAAGCCCUACACGAAGCAGAACCUAGAGUUGAAGAGAGCGGCCUUGAAAUUGCCUCCCUUGUUUGAAGAUGCUCAAGUCCAAGCUUAACGAACCUGGGGUACUGCUACUAGCAAACUGAAUAAGCAAAUAAGACAAGUUGGGUCUUGGUAAUACUCUAUCUAUCUGGAAUGGUGGUCCCCUCUUGGCUCCGAACUAUUCUAGCCAGAAGGUAUCACUCUUCUGGUUUAUUUAGUUGCAAUACAAGAAGAUUUUGGAAUGGGAGGGAUCUAAUGACGAGGUCAUUUCCAUUUGUAAAUGAUGCUCAGACUCCAGUUACACUCGGAUUGUCGCAAGAUUCGACCCUUUCGUUGAUCUCAUCAACUGUAUGGAGAUCUCCUGGAACUGUCGGAUUUUGUGGACUUGCUAGGGGAGAUUCAGCUUUGCCUGUAUUGGAUAGCGAUGAGGAUAUUUCAGAAGAUGUGGUCGUUGAUGCUUUGCCAUGCAAUGAUUCGCGAGAACUGAAGGAACAUUUUGAUGAGGUGAAUACUCGUGCUGGUAAAAGAAAAGCUAAAAGUAAUAAAAAGAAGUCGAUAGUGGAGUUUAGUAAAGUUGACGCUGAUUUACUUCCAACUGUUAUUCUAGUCGGACGUCCAAAUGUGGGCAAGUCGGCGUUGUUUAACCGUUUUAUUCAAAGGAGAGAAGCUCUUGUGUACAAUACCCCAGAUGACCAUGUUACACGGGACAUACGAGAAGGCAUUGCCAAAUUGGGUGAUUUGCGGUUUAGGGUGUUGGAUUCAGCUGGUCUUGAAACAGCAGCAACUUCCGGAAGUAUUCUUGACAGAACUACAGGAAUGACUGGUCAUGUACUUGCAAGGUCUCAAUUUGCGAUGUUCUUGAUUGACGUGAGAGAUGGAUUGCAGCCUCUUGAUUUCGAGGUGGGGUCGUGGUUGCGCAAACACGCAUCUGGAAUCCCUACUCUUCUAGUGAUGAAUAAGUCUGAAUCGCUUGAUGAUCACCGAGGAUACCUUAUGUCAGCUGCUGGCGAAGCCUAUAAAUUGGGAUAUGGGGAUCCUAUUGCAAUAUCUGCUGAAACAGGACUUGGUAUGGGAGAUCUUUAUGACUCUCUCCGUCCUCUUCUUGAGGAAUAUAUGCUCCGUGUCUUAAAUGAGAAGGCUAGUCAGAGUAAUGACUCCUCUUCUGAGGUUGACGAGUCCAAGUUACCUUUGCAAUUGGCUAUUGUAGGCCGACCCAAUGUUGGCAAGUCUACAAUGUUGAAUGCGUUGUUGCAACAGGAACGUGUUCUGGUGGGACCUGAAGCUGGUUUAACAAGAGAUUCAGUUAGAGCUGAGUUCCAAUAUGAAGAACGAACGGUGUAUUUGGUUGACACGGCUGGUUGGUUGCAAAGAUCGAAGCAGGAGAAAGGACCAGGGUCCUUGAGUGUCAUGCAGUCCCGAAAAAAUCUUAUGAGGGCUCAUGUCAUCGCUUUGGUGCUUGAUGCAGAUGAGAUUGCAAAAUCCAGGUGUAGCAUGAAUCAUGCUGAGGUAGUUAUAGCGAGGCGUGCGGUAGAAGAAGGUCGUGGUUUGGUUGUGAUUGUGAACAAGAUGGAUCUUUUGAGAGGGAAGGAAAAUGCUAAACUAUAUGAGAAGGUCAUCAAAGCUGUUCCGGAAGAAAUUCAAACAGUUAUUCCUCAGAUAACAGGAAUUCCAGUUGUAUUUGUGUCUGCACUAGAGGGAAAAGGUCGGAUAGCUAUAUUGCGCCAGGUCAUGGAGACGUAUGAAAAAUGGUGUUUAAGGUUGUCAACUGCACGUCUUAACCGUUGGCUUUGCAAGGUUAUGAGUAGGCAUUCAUGGAAGGAUCAAAAGGCAAAGCCAAAAAUCAAGUAUUUCACACAAGUGAAGGCUCGACCGCCAACUUUUGUGGCGUUUAUACGUGGCAAAACUGAAUUUUCAGACACGGACAUUAGGUUCCUAACUAGAUCUUUGAAGGAAGACUUUGACUUGGGGGGAAUUCCCAUCCGAAUUAUGCAGCGAGCUGUUUCAAGAAAAGCAGAUGCUGGUGCUAAAGGCAAUAAAUCUUGUGGAAGGAUGACAGACAAGAUUACCUCUGACAAGAGAGCUGUAUCUCCUGACAAGAUUUGCUCUGACAAGAGAACUGAAGAUUCCCCAACACCAACCACUUAGCGAGUUUCCUGCAUUGCGCCACGCUGAUAGUGAGAAGAAGGAACAAGAUUGGCGGUGUUUGUAUUUGUCACUUAGGGAGCAAGCAAGCCAGUAAGGCAUAUUUCACUUACGGCUUUGUCAUGUGUAAGGCAUGGGCAAGUGGUAGCAGGAAUCAACAACAGCAUAUAGUGUCUCCUGAUUCUGCAACGGGCGAGUCAUCCGGCUCCAAUGGGACACAAAACAGAUGUUCUUUUACCAGUCUGAUGAAAUUAAACCAUUUAGGAUUUGGUGCUUCAUGUUAGUUUAAGAAUAGAUCAAAUUUUGUCGUUAAACUACAUGUAAACUUUUCUUUGUAAAUAUAUCCAAUAGUUGCAUGUGACAAUGAGACGUUCCACAGUGAUGUUUUCUUGACCAAUCC